AUUCAUUAAUAGAAGCACCAGAAAACAAUUCAUUGAAGCAACUCUGAGGCUUUUGUUAGUAACAGAAUGCAUUUUUCAAUAAAAAGAAAUGAAAAGAAAAAAAUCCAAAGCCACAGGUGUUUGAGCAGCAAAAAUUACAAACACUCAACUCACCUGGCCUUUUUCUGGUCUGUCUUUAGUUACAAACUUGUAUAACUCGUACAACAUUUAUUUAUAGAUCCAACUUAAAAAAAUGUCUGAACAAUUCUCCUUUCUUUUUCAUUUUUUUUCCCCUUUUACAUUCCCAUCUUAAUUUGUGUGAGGUUAAGGAAAAACAAAUACAAAAAUCAACCAGAACAGUGUUCCAUAUAAUCAGUUGGUUCAUUAGAUUUUUCUUUCUCAGCCACAAGCAUCAGCAUCUCAAGGCGCUUGUCAAAAAGUAAUGCACUCUCAUCUCUCUUAUCAAGCUCAGCAGCUUCAGCUUCAAGCCAUUUCUCUCGCAAAUCAUCCAGAAGAUUUCCUUGGUCUGUAUUUAGAAUUGCUCCUGGAGCAUUUGGGACUGUGGUGCGAAGUGAAGAAUCUCCAGAUGGUGGAGGCAGUGUCAGAAGCAUUGCUCGGAACUCUCGAUUAUCAGCAAAUGUCUCAAAGUUACAAGCCAUUGUAUCUAGACAGUACUCUCGGAUUUUCAAGACGCCAUACAUAUCUGACAAUAUAAGCCAAUGGCACAGUUCUGCAUGUGAAACCGUUUCUAGAUGUGGCAAAAGUACAUCAGCUACAGCACGCUUAAGAGAAAACAAAAGAUAUCUCGAAGCAGCAUCAAACAUUUCCUCUGCCUGCAAACAGUACAGUGGGUAUUGUACAGAUUUAACUUUUGUGACGAGCCACUUAAAUUGAAAUAUUAGAUACCUGAUCUGGGUCAAUAUCCUUCAAACUAUCAGUAUACCUGAACCAACCAAGGUUCAAAUAAGUCCUCUGAUAAUUAAAUUUAGAUUUGGCAAUUAUCAAUUGAAUUGCAUAUAACUGUUCUAAUAAUUCAAAAGAUGGUUGAUUAUGCAUCGCAUAUUAGGAGAAUGUUGAUGAGGCAACAUAUCUGGUCACCACAUCAACAAAAUUUGUAGGUCUACAGAACAACUAUAGUCAGGGAUGAUUGAUUAUGCACAAAUGUUAGGAGAAUGUUGAUUAGGCAACAUAUCUGGUAAAUACAUCAACAAAAUUUGUAGGUCUCACCGAAACACUAAAGUAAGGGAUUAUGGAGUUACAACCAGAAGAUUAAACUUGAAAAUAACUAAAUAUUAUCCUAAACAACUCUAAGGUAAGCAAUCUAUGCAAAACAGAAAAAACUUACAUAUACUCCAGCAUUUUCUCCAAUGUCUCCAUGCUCAAAUCAUGUUCUUCAAGAAAUGGAAGAGAAUCAACAGGCAAUCCAUCCUUCCCUUCAUAAAAAUCCUUCAUCCGGGACAAUCUUGCUCUAAAGUACUCCGACCUUGAUGCUAAAAGCACUUGAUGGCAGCGAAAAAUCUUCUUAUCCACUCUUAUACAAACAUCAGCAAGAUCAUUUACAGAAUCACUUAUCUGCACUGCACCAAUGGAAUAUAUUAACCUAUCAACACUGCCAUCCAAAUUUUGUCCCAAAGUGGAUUUUGCCAGGGAAGUACGAAGGAUAUGAUGCAAGGCAGCAGGAAGACGGUCUUCCUCAGGAAGUGAUGAGCCCUGUAAGAUAAACCUCUUCUGCGAAUUGUCCACAUCUCUCAGUGCUUUGUACUCUGCAUAUUUUUGAUGAAUCAGUUCUUUCUCAAGAAUUCUCUGCAAGGAUUCACAUUUGCACACUUUGCAGAUUCUUACAAGAUCUUCCAUGUCAUCAACUGCAAUCUCUAGUCUGUCAGAAUAGAAGAAGUGAAUUAGGCUGUAAAGCGCGGGAUAAGACAACUUUUCCCUUGCAAAUCUCACUUCACAUCGGUCUCUCCAAUCAGUUUCAAACUUUCUCUUAAAAAAUGGUGACCGAGCACUUAAUAUGACUCUGUGAGCUUCAAUAGGCCUACCUUGAACGAAAAAUACCACAUCUGGACGGAAGCAGUUGGAAUUGGAUAUCCCACUGGAUGAAACACCUGAAACGUGAAAACCACCUAGCUCAAUCUGCUCCAAAUAGGCCUUAUUGGCCUCACAACCCAAGAAAGUCUCUCGUAGCGCCGCCUGCAACGGUCCCAAAGGCGGUGGUCUAGCCUCAAAAGCCUUCAAAAGCUUCCUGACCUUUAAAUUCAAGGCAGCAUAGUGACAUCUAUCCCCAUCAAAAGUAUGCUCGGAGCAUAUAGCUCCACUCUCCAGCAACAUCCGCGCAGCGUCGAGGUGGCCGGCCAAACAAGCGUAGUAUAAUGCGACGGAGUCCCACUGGUCACGGGCGUUGACAUUGACGCCGGAUUCCAGCAAGUACCUAAGGCGGUCGACGUCGCCGGCACGGGAGGCCUCGAAUACGUCGCCGUUCGGAACUUUCUUAAGCGGGAGAGAGGAGGUGAAAUCGGAGGGGUCUAGGUCGAUUUCGUCCAGUUCUGCGUCGAGGGUCCAUCCGUAAGGGCGUUGUGGUGUUGGCGACAUUUUUGGGUAAAAGUUUUCUUCUACUUGGAAGUUGAAAUGG
rnacentral:misc_RNA from 1 species